UACAGAGGGGGCAAGCGUUAUUCGGAAUUAUUGGGCGUAAAGGGCGCGUAGGCGGCUUGGCAAGUGGAAGGUGAAAUCCCUCGGCUUAACCGAGGAACUGCCCCCAAACUGCUUCGCUUGAGACCGGGAGAGGUGAGUGGAAUUCCCAGUGUAGCGGUGAAAUGCGCAGAUAUCAGGAGGAACACCGAUGGCGAAGGCAGUGUUCUGGGCCAGUACUGACGCUGAGGAGCGAAAGCGUGGGGAGCAAACAGG
rnacentral:rRNA from 1 species